AUUGAACGCUGGCGGCAUGCCUAAUACAUGCAAGUCGAACGGUAACACGAGGAGGUUUCCUUUCUUGCUGACGCGUGGCGCGCGGGUGUGAAAUGUCUGGGACCCUCCUUGAAGACGGGGGUUAAUUACUGAAACCGGUACCUAUAACCGCUUAUCUACGCAACACCAUGGUGGGGGAGCUACAGGCCGCUUUCCUUCCGCUGUUCCCUGAUGGGAUUAGCUAGUAGGUGGGGUAACGGCUCACCUAGGCGACGAUCCAUAGCUGGUCUGAGAGGUUGACCAGCCACACUGGAACUGAGACACGGUCCAGACUCCUACGGGAGGCAGCAGUGGGGAAUAUUGCACAAUGGGCGCAAGCCUGAUGCAGCAAUGCCGCGUGUGUGAAGAAGGCCUUCGGGUUGUAAAGUUCUUUCAGCGGGGAAGAAGGGAGUAAAGUGAAUACAUUUGCUCAUUGACGUUACCCGCAGAAGAAGCCACGGCUAACUCCGUG
rnacentral:rRNA from 1 species